UACGUAGGGGGCAAGCGUUGUCCGGAAUCAUUGGGCGUAAAGCGCGUGUAGGCGGCUCGGCAAGUCUGGUGUGAAACUGGAGGCUCAACCUCCAGCUGUCGCUGGAUACUGCCGGGCUUGAGUCCGGAAGAGGAGAGUGGAAUUCCUGGUGUAGCGGUGAAAUGCGUAGAUAUCAGGAGGAACACCGGUGGUGUAAACGGCUUCUGGACCGUAACUGACGCUGAGGCAACGAAAGCGUGGGUAGCAAACAGG
rnacentral:rRNA from 1 species